rnacentral:lncRNA from 1 species
CCCGAGCAAAUCCCCUCCUCUUUCUCCUCUCUCGGCGAGGCCACAGCAAAUCCCCUGCUCUUUCUCUCCCCCGGCGAGGUCACAACACAAUUGGCGAGAGGGUGGAGCUGCAACGUCUUCCUGGCGACCAGAAGGCAGCUGCAACCAUGGAUUGGGGAGCUGCAAACGAUGCUCAGAAGAGUUGCAUCCGGAGUCUACGGGAGCCCCGACUGCUACGGCGAGCUGCAACCGUGGAUAGCGGGAAGCUGGAAUAGGCAUCCAAAGGAGCUGCAACCGGCGUCCUUGGGAGCUGCAGACGAUGAGCGGCGACUAGCUUCAGGCUAUGGCGGCGGUGCGGCCAUGGAACGGUGAGCUUUUAUUCUUUUUCUUUUUUUGCUACAAUCGGCAAGAUGAGAUGUUACAACGGGAUUAGCAAGGUGCUGCUACGACUGCGGCGAGAGGGGAGACGCUGCAGAACAAUGCCAAUUUUUUCUUUUUGCCAUUUUGCUUUUUUUGCUGGAACCAUAUAAUUUUUUUGCUGGAACUAUGUAAUUUUUUUGCGACAAGCAUAUAAAUGUUUUGUUGGAGACCAUCUUAUAUUUUGCUGGAACCACAUAUUUUUUUUGCUGGAACCAUAUAAUUUUUUUGCUGGAACUAUGUAAUUUUUUUGCGACAAGCAUGUAAAUGUUUUGUUGGAGACCAUCUUAUAUUUUGCUGGAACCACAUAUUUUUUUUGCUGGAACCAUAUAAUUUUUUUGCUGGAACCUUGUUUUUUGCUGGAACGUCUCUGUUUUUUUGCUACCAACAACAUCGAAAUUGAUACCAUGGGCGACGAGCAGGACGACACAGGUGCUGCGAGCUGGAACCGGCGCACGCCGGAGCUGCGGCCACCGCCAUCGGAGCUGUGGCCGCCGCCAUGGGAAGCUACAAGUACGGGACACGUUGCUGCAUGCACGGAACUGGCGAGAAACACAGGAGUCCGACAACGGCGAGGGGCGGCGGCCGGCGGCGAGGGGUGGCGACCGGCGAGAUGAGUCGGGCGGUGCUUCUAGGGCAGGCGCAUCGUUCGUCCACGGCGCGAUGGGGAUGUUUCCUAGAGAAGAAGACACAGGGGAAGAAGGAAAAAGAUCGGGCGGCUCUAAUUUUCUGAAUCGCACGGUGCUGAUGUGACCGGCCCAAAUUUGGGCCGGUGCGCCGGCGCCUAGCACCCGCCUAUUCAAAUCAGGGGAAAUAUGAGUAGAUCAAUCGUAGCACCUUCAGAUUUGGUACAUCUUUUUUAUUAUGUUCAUGUAGUGCUGCUGCUUGCCAUGUCCGACCACCUCCACCAUGCUGGCUUCGGACCACCACUGGAGCACCAAGGGUGGUGCCCUCGAGUAGUUACGGGACUCGCGGCAGGUGAGGGGAAGGCCGCCGCCGCCGGAUUCGUCAGGAUGGGCGGCGGCGGCGAUAGGGCGAUGCGGCUAGUCGGCAGGAGCAGAAGCAUCCGCCAGAGCUGCCGGUAGGGAGCGGAGGUACGCCGCACUCGGUCCUCCUGCAGCCGCCGUCCGCGACAGUGUCGACACAGGCCCAAGCGCAGCGGUACUUGGGCUUGCCGAUCUCGCGAUCGAUGACGCGCUGCAUCCCCACCACCAGCACAUAGAGGAGGGUAAGGCACGGCUGGCAGAGGUGUCCCGACUGUGACCUGGAUGGGGAUCAGCGGCGGCUCCUGAAUCGGAUGCGCGAUGGCAAGGGAUCCGCGAUGGCAAGGGGUUCGGCAGCGUCAAAUCUUGCCGUCGACGUAGCGACGAGACAGGCGGCAGCGAAGGGUUCGGUGGCGCAGGGAUCAAUGGCGCUUGAUGGGCGAGCGAUGGCGGCGGCGAAGGUGUCCCGACUGUGACCUGGAUGGGAUCGAGGGCAGUCUGAUCGCCUCGCUCGCUCGUGCGUGUGCGAGUCAUCGAUUUUUUUCAUAGGCUUUUUUUCGCUCGCUCCCUCCUAAUUCUGAUCGCCUCGCUCGCUCCUGGAUCGCUCCCUCCUACCGUGGUUUUGAUGUGUUUCUUGUUGGUUCGCGGGUCCAGAGGGAUCGCUGGGACAUGGGAGAUCGGAGGAAGGACGGAAAAACCAGUUGGUGGGAUGAAAUUUAACCACAGAGAUUACCAACUGAUACAUUAGUAGUAGAAGAUAUAGGGUUAAACUUUUAGAACCAUCACUUACAGUUUUCAUGGGACUAAUUUAAAAUUUUAGAAAUUAUGCGGCCCAAUAUUUCUAACAAAAGUAUAGCCCACACGCUACAAAUGGAGCUUCGUUGGACGCAAUCGUUGCUGCGUUGCAGGCUUGCAGCUUUUGUCGCGCUGCACGGUGCACCAUGAGAGCUGCAAUGAAGCUUCGCCACGCUCAAUGCUACGGGCUACGGCGCAUUGCUGCAAUCGUGAAAUCAUCCGGUUAAUUCGGAGCCACCACCUUUUCAAUUCACCUCGAUCGGUAUGCAACAGCGCAAGUAUGUUGCAACGAGGAUGCAUCUCUUAAAAAGCACGUCCAAUGAAACUCAAGGUUUUGUUGCUUUUCGUAUGUUCUUUUUGGUAUGUAUCCAAUGGAACUUAAGGUUUUGUUGCUUUUUGUAUGUUCUUCUUGGUAUGUGCAGGAGUGACUUUGUGCCAGAGGAUGCAGCCAACAACCAGAGAAGAUAUCCAACUAAUCAUUCAUUCUGCUG